rnacentral:rRNA from 1 species
UUUUAUUCGAGAGUUUGAUCCUGGCUCAGGAUGAACGCUGGCGGUGUGCCUUAGGCAUGCAAGUCGAACGAGAAGCUACUCUUCGGAGUAGUGGACAGUGGCAGACGGGUGAGUAACGCGUAGGAAUCUACCCUUUAGUGGGGAACAGCCUCGGGAAACCGGGAAUAAUACCGCAUGUGAUCGCAAGAUCAAAGACUUCGGUCGCUAAAGGAGGAGCCUGCGUCCUCUCAGGUAGUUGGUGAGGUAACGGCUCACCAAGCCAACAA